AGCAGCGCAGUUAUUAAAGAUCUAAAGUGGUGUUGCGCGCGCAAAACUGGGGUGUGAGAGGGGUAAGUGAGAGGGCCCCCUCGCAAUCGGGGGGGGAAGGCAGAUCCCACAAACCAAAAAGGGGGGUGGGCCGGAAAUAAGGGGGCAUCAAACAUGGGUUGUAAUCCUCGCUUUUCCCCACCCUUAACGGUGGUAACUUCCUUGUCGGCCCUCAGACCUUUCGGGGUGCUAGCGAAUGACAUAAGUUGUCCUCCUGGGGAGUACGACCGCAACGUCUCAACUCAAAAGAAUUGGACGAGCGCCCGCACACGCGGAGGAACAUGUGGUAUAAUUUGUACGAUACGCUGGAGACCUUUCCCCGGCUCGAACCGGGCAAGAAUUUUUCAGAGAUUGUACAAUCCUUCCGCACAUGUAUCGAGGUGUUGCGGCGUCGUCGUCAGCUUGUGCCGUGAGGCGUCGGGGUAAUUGUCCUAACGAGGGCAACCCUUGUCAUUAGUUACCAUCAGGUUAAGCUGGGGACUCUAGUGAGACUGCCACCGUAAGGUGUGAGGAAGGGGGGGAUGACGUCAAAUCAGCAUGGCCCUUAUGUCCGGGGCGACACACGUGUUACAAUGGGAGGUACAGAGAGCAGCCAGUUAGUGAUAACGCGCCAAUCUCAAAAACCUUUCUCAGUUCGGAUUGGAGUCUGCAACUCGA
rnacentral:rRNA from 1 species